UCUCCAAAAAAAAAAAAAAGAGAGAGAGAGACACAGUAAAGAAUAAAUAUGUUUAAUUGAAACUUUAAGCAUGUUUAAAACAUACUUAAGUUGGCAAAAUAUUUGCAACAAUGAUAUCAUAUGAUUAUAUUUUACCAAAACAUGAAGCAUUUUUUACAAAUCCAUAAGAAAAUCACUAACAGAAAACAAUGGAGAAAGAGAAAUACAAGUUACCAACAAAUACACUAAGAAAUAAGCCCAACCACAUUCAUAAUCUAAGAAGUGCAUAUUAAAAUGAGACCAUAUUUUCUAUGAAAUUAUUAUUGUCUGUUAUGUGAACAAACACUGAGCAGUCGUGGAGUCCCCGAUGAUGAGGAUGAAGAGAAAUGGCGCCUCAGGAGACUCCUAGAGGGAGAGCACAUUGUUAACCCCUGGGGUAAAGAGCAAGUUAGUGAUACAUCUUAAAAGCCUUCAAAAUGCCCAUAGCUGCAGAACUGAUAGAAAAAUCCUGUACCUUGAUUGUGGUAGUAGGGGCAUAGGUAUAUAUAGCUGUCAAAACUCAUCAAAUUGUAUAUUAAAAUUGAUGUGUUAAUUAAAUGUAAGUGAUUCUUUGAUUUCUUGGUGAGGAAAUAAUGUUUACAAUCUUUGACCCAUUUCAAUGCUAGAAAAAAAAAUCAUACAGGUACAUAAAAACUAUUAUAAGGAUGUUCCUCACAGGAUAGUUUACCAUUGCACAAUAAAAAGACAACUGUAAAAAUAGAAGAAUAGCUAAAUACAUUUUGAUAUACCAAAAACAGUUAAAUGACAUAGCUGAUUGCUUGAAAUAUGAUGUGACAUGAAGUAAAGGAGAAAAGAAUAGUAAAUCGUAUUUACAAUAUGAUACCAGUUUUACUAGAAAAACUACGUGAGCACAGGAAAUGAUUAAAUUGAAAUGCUCAGAAUGUUGAUGUUGUUAGUCAUAUCUUUGGGUGGUGGGAUUAUUAGUAAUUUAUUUUCUUCAUUUCCCAACUGUUAGAUAGUAAGCAUGUAGCAUUUUAAAUUAUGGGAAAAGCAUGAAUUUUAGGAAAAUAAUUGAAUGUUCAGAUAAAAAUUAUAUGGAAGCAGAAGGAGAGCCCACUGGCUUACUGUGGAAUUGCUGGGAGCACACAGAAUUUUUAUCCCUCUCUCUUCCGUGUUCUUUUCCUGCACCCGCAGCAACACUGAUGAAAAUGGGGCAAGUAAAGAACAUCAUUCUCGAGGGGGCAGCACAGUUGUGUGCACACAAAAUCCUGGGUUCCACUUUUUGUCCCUUUACCAGCCCCUCUCUCUAAGAUAUCUAACCUCUUUUUGGCAACUGUCCUUUGGAUUUCAUCAGUUCACCUGGCAAAUUCUAGCCAGUAGUUUUUUAAAAACUCACCUUGUCUCUCUCUCUCUCUCUCUCUCUCACACACACACACACACACACACACACACACACACGUGGCCCUUUCUUGUAUACAGAAGCUAUAAAAUGUGUGUAGAUUUCUAGCCCUGAAAUACUAAAGUUCUAUAAUUCUGUACUUAACUCUUUAAUAAUCUUGACAUUUUAUCUACCAUAUGAACUACGGUACAAACACCAUUAAGGGCAGGACUUGGCUUUCCAGGCCUGAAUGCAGGUAUUUAAAAUAAUUGAAUUACAAGAAGGUAGCUCAUAGAUCUUUUCCAUUGCAGCAUAACUGUCUUGAAUCUGAAAACACAUUGUCUGUCUUAACUCUGCAGUAGCUGACACACCCUCCUCCUCACAAGUCACUGUAGUAGUAAGAUUAAAUAUUAUAAUGAUGGUUUAGCAAAUCGGAUGGGGACUCAUCAGCUAUUUUCAUAUCAAGAACUGAGGUUGAAAUAUGCAUCCUUUAUUUGUUUUUCAUUGAGUGAUUACAGAUGGCACCUAAUAAAGUCUUCAUGCUGUGAUAUCUUGAAGCCAUUGAUUUAUGUUUGUGACUGAUGAGGAUCCUUUCUGAGAGGUAAACACCAGCAUUAUUGAGGAGUGAAGUUUAGGCUUGAUAUUUUUCAAUAAAGUAUAUUCCUCAUUAUACUUUAUCCUCCAAAAUAAAAUGACAAAAAUAAAACUUUGGACUUUUCUUUGGAUACAUAUUAGCCAAAACCAUCAUGCCCCUGGUAAAUAUAAAUUGAUUCUGAGUUUUUAGAAAAUAAAUCACGAAUUGUACAAAAACAUUGAGAGUCAGAAGAUGUUAGAAUACUGGAUGUGGAGGUGAAUUGGUGUGCCUUUUCUUCCAUUUGAUUUGGACUAUGGUGUGACUGACUAUUUUAGCAUCUCUUCCUAAUUCUUUCCUUUGUUGAAAGUGUUGUAAAGGCCCACAUGCCAAGGCUAAUUGUGGGGCCAGAGCCAGGGAGACUGCUGGGCAGGUGGUUAUCUAGGCAGGGAUGGCAGUUGGGCAGAAGGCACAAGCAAUACAAGCUCUGGGAACAUCAGGUGGCUUCAGUCUAGAGACACAGAUCAGGUAACCCAGGGAAAGAUGGUGGAGUUGAGGAAUAAUGCUAAGAGUGAGGGCCACAGACCAGCAUCGACCAGAAGCCUCCACGGUGAAAUAUGGAUUCCAUGAGCUUGGACUCAGCAGCCAAGAAAAGUCUCAUUUAAUAGUCAUUGCGAUCUCAAUUUCACAGCCAUAUCGAUGGAGAAACAUCUGUGCUCAAGAGGAGAGAAUUCCACAACAGCUUACAGCCACACACUGGUCAUCCCUGUGAAAGAUGCAGCUGACCAGACAUGAUGUAGAAAGUCAGGCAGGCCCUCUGAACCCCAUGGGCGCCUCUGCCAAGUGGUGGCGAGCAUUCUGGAAAAAGUGGAAAGGCCAAUACAGAGAAGUGACGGGCCUGCAAAUGGUCCUGAUUUUUCUAACACCAAUUCAGGGGCAUCAUUGGGUCUUUUGACCCAAGAUCUUAAGUGGAUCCUCUGUGCAUUUCAUUACUUAGUUAAAUAGCAUGUCAUUCCGUAAGAAAGCAAACCUGAAUUGGUUUUGCCUAAACUACAUAGCCCAGGAAAUUGAGCAGAGGAUUGAAUGGCACAGUUCCUGAUCUCAGCAGGCUAUGGUUUCCCCUUUGUAUCUCCACUUUGUAUCUGACUGCAUUUUCUCUUUGCCCUAAACCAUCCAGCUAUUGCAGUGGCGAUGGGGGGGUGUCUGACAAAACUUUACUUUUCUUCCUUUUUUAUUAAAGUGUUUCAGAUGCUGCAGUCAUGAAUGAUUUUUGAAUGUUUAUUAUUUACCUAAUACAGGCAAGAAGAUAUAGUAGAAGAUAAAAAAUGAAUAGAAAAGAGAUAGUACUACCCAAAUGGAACUCUAUUAGGGAGGGGAAAAUAUGUGAAACAUCCAAAAUAUAUUUUUGACAUUUUUACAGAAUUAAAUAAUUAUAGAUUAUACGGUAUUCAUGAUCAAGAAGUGCUUUGGAAUUUUAUGCACCUAAUGAAUGUAUAGGUGGGGAAAGUUGAUCUAUAAAUGCACAUGUAUACUGUAAGGGAUAUGAAUCUUUACUUUCACUGAACCACCAGACCUUAAAAUUUUAUAGGAGCAGAGCAUCUCAAAGUCUUGAUGUCUGUAAUUUCAUAAAGUAUCAUUAACACAUUAAGUUUCAACUAAAUUGAAAUUAAUUGUUUCAUUUGGGGAGAUUAGCAUUUUUCUAUUUCAGUGGCAGAAUACUGAUGUUUCAAGGGAAUAUAUUUUGAGGAUAACAGUCAUAAUAUUAAUAGUUGUUGUUAUUAUAUUUAACACUCAUUGGGAGCUUCUUGUGUCUCAGGAAUCUUGUUAAGUCCUUUAGAUGUACUAUUUCAUUUAAUCCUAAGAACAACCCUGUGAGGAAGAUACUAUUAUUAUGUCCAUUGUACAGAUAAGGAAACCACCAACUUAGAGAUGAUUCAUAACGCUUCUAUGUUACUGAGCUGGUCGCUAGCAGCACUCAAGUGAUUGAACAUUCAACCCAGGCCCAGGUGACUUGCAACCCCGUGCUCGUAAGCUCUUAACUGGUCUCUCUCUCUCUCUCUCUCUCUGAAAAGGGCAAAAUCUAAAACAUGAUUAUCUGAGGGAGAUGGGGUAGCUAGAAAAGUAGGAUUCUAUGAAAUGUUAUUCUGCUGAAUUCUCAAGAACACAGUGUUUCUGGAAAGCUUAGUGGUUCUGUUGAGGUGAUGUUCAUUGAUAUUCUAAAUGUGUUACUUUGUUUUAUUUUUUUGUUGGUGGGGGAAGACUUUACUAGUUGGAAUUACUAAAAUCGCUUUAAUAAAGUGCUUGCAAAGACUCAAUCUGGUUAACAGUAAAGCCAUUUGUUUCAGUCAUGUCAGCAACUUUGGUUUUCAUAAGGGUUUUAAUGAAUCGGAGAGUGGAAUUUAAGAAAGCAAACAAUCCAAGGAAUACUCCUUAUUUUUCUAAAAUAGCAAAGCAAAAAUGGGAACCCUUUCCAGUUUAGUUACAGCAAGUAUCUAUUGGAGUUUUAGAAAUUCUUAGAGUACAUCAUUUAUCAUAUAGAACAAAACUUGAUUAAUGAACACUUUUUAAAAGUCUUUUUAGGGUCCUAUUAUUAUUUUAGUUGUUUAGAUAUAAAAAUAUUUUAUGACAUAUUCACUGUUAAAUUUAUAGUGAAUUGACAUUCAGUGACAUUUGUUUUUAAAGUUGUUUAUUGAAAUAUGUAGUCUACCAGAAAUAAGUACGGUUACCAACUACUGAAAUCAAUUUAAUAGUAAUUUGGUCUUGUUAGUCUGUUAAAAAGAAUUAUUGGCCUUCAGAUAUUUCCACAAAGCCCUUUGUUACUCAUGAAUCCCAUCAAGAUGCUAUGAAUAAAGACUGUGAAUAUCAA
rnacentral:lncRNA from 1 species